GUGAGGAAUAUUGGUCAAUGGGCGGGAGCCUGAACCAGCCAAGUCGCGUGAAGGAAGAAGGAUCUAUGGUUCGUAAACUUCUUUUGCAGGGGAAUAAAGUGCAGGACGUGUCCUGUUUUGUAUGUACCCUGAGAAUAAGGAUCGGCUAACUCCGUGCCAGCAGCCGCGGUAAUACGGAGGAUCCGAGCGUUAUCCGGAUGUAUUGGGUUUAAAGGGUGCGUAGGUGGUUUGAUAAGUCAGCGGUGAAAGUUUGCAGCUUAACUGUAAAAAUGCCGUUGAAACUGUCGGACUUGAGUGUAAAUGAGGUAGGCGGAAUGCGUGGUGUAGCGGUGAAAUGCAUAGAUAUCACGCAGAACUCCGAUUGCGAAGGCAGCUUACUAAGCUACAACUGACACUGAAGCACGAAAGCGUGGGGAUCAAACAGGAUUAGAUACCCGAGUAGUCC
rnacentral:rRNA from 1 species